rnacentral:rRNA from 1 species
UAUGGUAAUUGUGAGCAGCCGCGGUAAUACGGAGGAUCCGAGCGUUAUCCGGAUUUAUUGGGUUUAAAGGGAGCGUAGGCGGACGCUUAAGUCAGUUGUGAAAGUUUGCGGCUCAACCGUAAAAUUGCAGUUGAUACUGGGUGUCUUGAGUACAGUAGAGGCAGGCGGAAUUCGUGGUGUAGCGGUGAAAUGCUUAGAUAUCACGAAGAACUCCGAUUGCGAAGGCAGCUUGCUGGACUGUAACUGACGCUGAUGCUCGAAAGUGUGGGUAUCAAACAGG